rnacentral:rRNA from 1 species
AUGGCCGCCACCAGCGUGACGCGGCCGUCCGAGCCGCCACGGGACUCGGACCACUCGUCGGACGGCACCAGCGCGUCGAACACGUUCGUUUCCCCCGCAGCCGGCGCUACCUCGAACGGCGGCUCCUCGUCGGCCAUCUCGGCCUGGAUCAUGAGCGCGUCCACGGCCAUGGCCUCGAGCUUCUGUAACGAGAAUGCGAGUACCUCAUCCAACGUCUCCGGAUCGUUUCCCGCGCUCCAGAUGCCGGUGGCGACGCGCUCCAUCCGGCCCUCGGACAAGGCGGUGGCGAGCUUCCGGACGAGCCUGACCGACCGCGCCGCGCUUGAGCUCGCGCCACCCUCGGUCCGCCUACCGCCGAUGACCGCCUCCGCGAUGCCCUCGAAACCCACUUGCUCGGGCGUCUUUCCGGUAAGGCUUUCCAUGCGCCCUAGCGACGCCACCUUGUCCCGAACCUCGUCGGGUCCGCCCGCGGCCGCCAUCUUCUGGAGCACAUCGAAUCCAGUCGCGGCCAUGGCACUUGGCAGCACGAACGGCCUCGAUACCUGCAUGGCGAGCACCGGGGGUACGUCUCUGCUUGCAAGCGGCACGUUGUACGGGUUCAUCGACACCAAGAACCCGCCGUCACGCGUUUGCACCGCCGGGCCAAGGCUUUGUCCCAAGUCCGGCACCACGGGCGCCUUCUUCUGCGACUCGCUUGAUCUUGGUGUCAUGGGCUGCUUCAGCUUCCUGAACUUGUCGUCGUCCACUGCCUCGAGCUUCCUAAGAAACUCAACGGUCACCAUCUCUUCAUCCGCAUCGAGCCGCGGCUGCUGA